rfam:Lupinus angustifolius cultivar Tanjil chromosome LG15, whole genome shotgun sequence.
AGGUGCGGUCAUACUAGCACUAAUGCAUCGGAUCCUAUCAGCCAUCUGCAGUGAAGCGUGCUUGGGCAAGAGUAAUACUAGGAUGGGUGAACACCUUGGAACUCCUCGUGUGGCACCUC